CGAGCACGCGCGUGUGGCAUAUCAAUAAGCGGAGGAAAAGAAACUAACAAGGAUUCCCUUAGUAACGGCGAGUGAAGCGGGAAGAGCUCAAAUUUGAAAUCUUCAAGGUUCUACCUUGACGAAUUGUAGUUUAUAGAAGUGUUUUCUGUUAGUGGAGUGGCAAAAGUUCUUUGGAAUAGGACAUCAUAGAGGGUGAGAAUCCCGUAUUUGGUCAUUCCUCCUAGCGUUGUGAUACACUUUCAACGAGUCGGAUUGUUUGGGAAUGCAGUCCAAAAUGGGUGGUAAAUUUCAUCUAAAGCUAAAUAUUGGCGAGAGACCGAUAGCGAACAAGUACCGUGAGGGAAAGAUGAAAAGAACUUUGAAAAGAGAGUUAAACAGUACGUGAAAUUGUCAAAAGGGAAGCGUUUGACACCAGUGUUGUUUUUCCGAAAAUCAAUUACGAAUGUUUUGUUUUUGAGGAGUUAUGACUUCAUCGGCUUGCUCCUUUCUUUAUGAAACUUUCUUAAUGCACUUUUCGGUUAACAAGUCAACAUCAAUUUCUUUUGUUGUAAAAGGGUAUGAGGAAGGUGGCUUUCUUUUCGGAGAAAGUGUUUAUAGCCUUGUGCCUCUGCAAUCGGAGAGAUUGAGGUCUGCAGCGUAGAUCCUUCGGGGUUAGAUACGUUUGUGCUAAGUUAUAGCUUUUCAUAGACAACUUGUUGACUAUGUUUAGUCUUGUAGCUUACUCGCUUAUCGCUAUUUUACCUACGCUUAGGAUGUUGAACUCUAUCACACACAG
rnacentral:rRNA from 1 species